GUUUGUUUGUUUGUUUGUUUGUUUGUUUUUCUCAGUACUGUAACUUUUAAUUUUCACUCAAGAAGUUCUUUUCUAUAUAAAUCCAUUUCACUUCUGACAGAAAACAUUAUAACAUAAUUACUCAAGAGUGCAAAGGAACGAAAGUAACAGAACUUGGAACUGGAUACUAUAUCUCCUAAAUUGUGGGAGUACAGCUGGAGGAGUAUGAAGAUCAGAAGAGUGUGUUAGAGCAGUGUUUUCUCUACACUUUUGAAUUCUAUAGCUGUAUUUACUUACUUUUAGAAUGGCAAGUAAUUUUUAAUGCUUACCAUGUGGUAUAAUUCUGGCUACUAAACUGGUUUCCAAAACCACUGUAUUUUUCAAACACAAGUUUAGCUAUCCUAUUGAACAGCCUAAAGCAUAGAAAUAACUUUGAGUGCUUGUUUACUAGCUUGAUUCUCCCCUAUAUUUGCUGGUUGGGUAGUUGGUUGUGCAUACGGAAGUAUAUAUGUGUAUGUUUGGUUACGAAUGAUUUUCUCUUUUCUUUUAAUCUUUAGUCCUCCUGUAACACUUUUAGACUGUUGAUUGGGAAGCACUGAAUGCAAUGAAUUCUGAAGUUUUCUCCAUGAUACCAUAGUAUAAACCACAGAAAUAUGACAAUACCCACAAUUCUAAAGGUUAUCUGUAUCAUAGUUAUACAUGACCUAUUUUCCGUUCCUGUUUAUUCCUAAUAUCUGUAUGCAUUUUCAUAUCCACACUGUAGUAUUUGUUGCUGUCAAUGGUUUAAGGGCUGGUCCGACCCAGUUCCACGACUAGUGGGGCGGAGGGAUUUCGCAGAAUCCGCACCUCCAGGAAGGGAAACAGGAGACCCCAAAAUAAUUAAAAACGGCGACAACGAUCUGAGGAGAAACAAACUAAUUUACUAAAUACAGUAUCGGAAUGUAAGAUAACACACUAUAAUACAAUAUAAUUAGAAUUGAAGCUAAUAAAUCAAAUAUAAUGAGACAGUAUCUGAAUGCUGUAGGCCUUGCAGUAGUGCUGAGGCGAUGCAUG
ensembl:lncRNA